GACGAACGCUGGCGGCGUGCCUAAUACAUGCAAGUCGAACGCUUCUUUCCUCCCGAGUGCUUGCACUCAAUUGGAAAGAGGAUUGGCGGACGGGUGAGUAACACGUGGGUAACCUACCCAUCAGAGGGGGAUAACACUUGGAAACAGGUGCUAAUACCGCAUAACAGUUUAUGCCGCAUGGCAUAAGAGUGAAAGGCGCUUUCGGGUGUCGCUGAUGGCUGGACCCGCGGUGCAUUAGCUAGUUGGUGAGGUAACGGCUCACCAAGGCCACGAUGCAUAGCCGACGUGAGAGAGGGAUGGCCGACACGGGGACUGAGCCGCGGCCCAGAGUCCUACGGAAGGCAGCAGUAGGGAAUGUUCGGCAAUGGAGGAAAGUCUGACCGAGCGACGCCGCGCCAGUGAAGAAGGUUUUCGGAGCGUAAAACUCUGUUGUGAGAGAAAAACAAGUACGUUAGUAACUGAACGUCCCGUGACGGUAUCUAAUCAGAAAGCCACGGCUAACUACGUG
rnacentral:rRNA from 1 species